rnacentral:rRNA from 1 species
AUGCAUAAGCUCGUAAACGUUCAUUAUUUGGAUAAGUCGACAUUUAUGCUUGGAAAUGAUGAUGAAGGGGAAGAGGCUAUGGUUUUUGACACAAGUCCAAGCUUUGAUGAUCUUGUAGUUCAAGUGAGAAGCAUCUUAAAUUGGAAUGACCUAAAUGCCGAGGUUAAGCUUAUUGGGAGGUAUGACGUUUGAUUGGGAGUAAAGUCCCGAUUAUAGAGUAUGCCCAUCACCUCCCAAUUGCAUUGGAAUGUGUACAAGGAAAAAGUAGACGCAUCAUAAGACAAGUCUCUUGAGAUCUUUGCCACAAAGGUUGAUCCUCCUCCUCCUUUGCAAAUUGAUCUCAACCGCAAUGCAUCCUCCCCCAUGCAUGAUGAUAGUGCCGAGGUGUAUGUUCCCAAUUGUUCUAGCCAACCACCAAGUAGCCAACCCAAUGAAGAUCAUAUCAAUGCUAGCGCCAUAGUACUCUGUCAUGAUGCUAUUCCUCAUGUUGAAGAAGAUGCUAUUCCUCAUGUUGAAGAAGAUGCUAGUGGUCAUGUUGAUGAUGAUGCUAUUGUUGCUCUAGAGGAGGAUGUUUACUCAGAGAAUGAAGAGAUCCAUUACAAUCCAAUUAGUAACUUGGAUGUCAUUGUGCCGCAAUAA